GUACUUACAACAACGACUCUCGGCAACGGAUAUCUCGGCUCUCGCAUCGAUGAAGAACGUAGCGAAAUGCGAUACUUGGUGUGAAUUGCAGAAUCCCGUGAACCAUCGAGUCUUUGAACGCAAGUUGCGCCCCAAGCCGUCAGGCCGAGGGCACGCCUGCCUGGGCGU
rnacentral:rRNA from 1 species